UACAGAGGUCCCGAGCGUUUGUUCGGAUUCAUUGGGCGUAAAGGGUGCGUAGGCGGCGGGGCAAGUCUGAUGUGAAAUCCUGGGGCUCAACCCUGGAACUGCAUUGGAUACUGCCUUGCUAGAGUACUGGAGAGGAAACUGGAAUUUACGGUGUAGCAGUGAAAUGCGUAGAUAUCGAGAGGAACACCUGCGGCGAAGGCGGGUUGCUGGGCUGAUACUGACGCUGAGGCGCGAAAGCCAGGGGAGCGAACGGG
rnacentral:rRNA from 1 species